GACGAACUGUGCAAACGUUAUUCGGAAUCACUGGGCUUGAAGAGUGCGUAGGCGGUUUCGUAAGUAGGGUGUGAAAGCCCCCAGCUCAACUGGGGAACUGCGUCCUAAACUGCGAGGCUGGAGUGAGGUAGGGGUGUGUGGAACUUCCGGUGGAGCGGUGAAAUGUGUUGAUAUCGGAAGGAACGCCGGUGGCGAAAGCGACACACUGGGCCUUGUCUGACGCUGAGGCACGAAAGCCAAGGGGAGGCAAACGGG
rnacentral:rRNA from 1 species